ACUCAAAUGAAUUGACGGGGACCCGCACAAGCAGUGGAGUAUGUGGUUUAAUUCGAAGCAACGCGAAGAACCUUACCAGGACUUGACAUAUUAGUGAAUCAUGCAGAGAUGUAUGCGUCCUUCGGGACACUAUUACAGGUGGUGCAUGGUUGUCGUCAGCUCGUGUCGUGAGAUGUUGGGUUAAGUCCCGCAACGAGCGCAACCCUUGUUGCUAGUUACCAUCAUUAAGUUGGGGACUCUAGCGAGACUGCCGGUGACAAAUCGGAGGAAGGUGGGGAUGACGUCAAAUCAUCAUGCCCUUUAUGUCCUGGGCUACACACGUACUACAAUGGGUACAACAAAGGGGAGCAAUAUAGUGAUAUGGAGCAAAUCCCAAAAAGUACUCUCAGUUCAGAUUGUAGGCUGAAACUCGCCUACAUGAAGUUGGAAUUGCUAGUAAUCGUAGGUCAGCAUACUACGGUGAAUACGUUCCCGGGUCUUGUACACACCGCCCGU
rnacentral:rRNA from 1 species